rnacentral:rRNA from 1 species
UACGUAGGGGGCAAGCGUUGUCCGGAUUUAUUGGGCGUAAAGAGCGUGUAGGCGGCUGGGUAGGUCCGUUGUGAAAACUCGAGGCUCAACCUCGAGACGCCGAUGGAAACCCUCCAGCUAGAGUCCGGAAGAGGAGAGUGGAAUUCCUGGUGUAGCGGUGAAAUGCGCAGAUAUCAGGAAGAACACCCGUGGCUAAGGCGGCUCGCUGGGACGGUACUGACGCUGAGGCGCGAAAGCGUGGGGAGCAAACAGG